AGGGUUGUGGCUCAGUGGUAGAGCACUUGCCUAGCAGGUGUGAGAUACUGAGUUUGAUUCUCAGCACCACAU
rfam:Ictidomys tridecemlineatus contig055232, whole genome shotgun sequence.